rnacentral:pre_miRNA from 1 species
UUUGUACUUUCUCCGUCCAACAAAAAAUGUCUCAACUUUGACUAAAUUUGAAUGCAUCUAUACACUAAGUCAUGUAUAGAUACAUCCAAAUUUUAACAAACUUGAGACAUCUUUUGUUGGACGGAGGAAGUAGGAA